UACAGAGGGUGCGAGCGUUAAUCGGAAUUACUGGGCGUAAAGCGUGCGUAGACGGUUAUUUAAGUCAGGUGUGAAAGCCCCGGGCUCAACCUGGGAAUUGCAUUUGAGACUGAAUAGCUAGGGUGCGGAAGAGGGAAGCGGAAUUUCCGGUGUAGCGGUGAAAUGCGUAGAUAUCGGAAGGAACACCAGUGGCGAAAGCGGCUAUCUGGACCGACAUUGACGCUGAGGCGCGAAAGCGUGGGGAGCAAACAGG
rnacentral:rRNA from 1 species